rnacentral:rRNA from 1 species
AUUUCGAUGGGGUGACAGAGAAGUGAAAGGCCCGCGCAGUUACGGAAUACUGCGUUAAAGCGUGUAGGUAUAUCCUGGGUAGGCAAAUCCGCCUGGGAUGCUGAACGUGAUAGUACUCAGAGGCUUCGGCUGAAGAGAUAGUGGCCCUAAUCCUGCUCGCGAGAAAAACCUCUAAGGCUAGGUUAUUACAACCCGUACCGUAAACCGACACAGGUAGUCGGGAAGAUUAUUCUAAGGCGCUCGGGUGAGCCGCGGAGAAGGAACUAGGCAAAUUGUAGCUGUAACUUCGGGAUAAAGCUAUCCCGGCGCAAGCCGGGAUUCAAUGAAAAGGUUCAACCAACUGUUUAACAAAAACACAGGGCCCUGCAAAAUCGAAAGAUGACGUAUAGAGCCUGAUACCUGCCCGGUGCCGGAAGGUUAAGGAAGCUUGUCAGCCGCAAGGUGAAGCUUGCGACCGAAGCCCCGGUAAACGGCGGCCGUAACGAUAACGGUCCUAAGGUAGCGAAAUUCCUUGUCGGGUAAGUUCCGACCUGCACGAAUGGUCUAAUGAGUUGAACACUGUCUCCUCCGCGAGCCCGGUGAAAUUGUAGUAUCGGUGAAGAUGCCGGUUACCCGCCACGGGACGAAAAGACCCCGUGAACCUUCACUACAACUUUGCAUUGAUUUUGAGUAACAGAUGUGUAGCAUAGUUGGUAGGCUAUGAAGCAGUGGCGCUAGCCAUUGUGGAGCCAACGUUGAAAUACCAACCUUCUGUUACUUAGAGUCUAACCCCGAGAGGGAGACAUUGCAUGGUGGGUAGUUUGACUGGGGUGGUCGCCUCCUAAAGCGUAACGGAGGCUCGCAAAGGUACCCUCAGUACGGUUGGUAAUCGUACGAAGAGCGCAUUAGUAUAAGGGUGCUUGACUGUGAGGCUGACCAGCCGAGCAGGUGCGAAAGCAGGCUAAAGUGAUCCGGUGGUUUCCGUAUGGAAGGGCCAUCGCUCAAAGGAUAAAAGGUACUCCCGGAUAACAGGCUGAUCUCCCCCAAGAGCUCAUAUCGACGGGGAGGUUUGGCACCUCGAUGUCGGUUCGUCACAUCCUGGGGCUGGAGAAGGUCCCAAGGGUUCGGCUGUUCGCCGAUUAAAGUGGCACGUGAACUGGGUUCAGAACGUCGCAAGACAGUUCGGUCUCUAUCUGUGGUGGGCGUUAGUAAAUUGCGAGGACAUGCUCUUAGUACGAGAGGACCGGAGCGUAUGUACCGCUGGUGUAUCUGUUGUGCCGCCAGGCGCAGUGCAGAGUAGCUAUGUACAGCCAGGAUAAGCGCUGAAAGCAUCUAAGCGCGAAACCUUCCUCAAGAUGAGUUUACUUUUAAGUGCCGUCAAAGACUAUGACGUUGAUAGGCUAUAGGUGUAAAGGUGGUAACAUCAAAGCCGAGUAGUACUAAUUGCACAAAAAG